CAUACGACCGUACCGCAAACCGACACUGGUGCGCGAGAUGAGUAUUCUAAGGCGCUUGAGAGAACUCAGGAGAAGGAACUCGGCAAAUUGACACCGUAACUUCGGAAGAAGGUGUGCCCUAUUAGUGUGUAGUGAACAACGAAGCAUGAAUGGGUUGCAAAAAAUCGGUGGCUGCGACUGUUUAUUAAAAACACAGCACUCUGCAAACACGAAAGUGGACGUAUAGGGUGUGACGCCUGCCCGGUGCUGGAAGAUUAAAUGAUGGGGUGCAAGCUCUUGAUUGAAGUCCCAGUAAACGGCGGCCGUAACAAUAACGGUCCUAAGGUAGCGAAAUUCCUUGUCGGGUAAGUUCCGACCUGCACGAAUGGCAUAACGAUGGCCACACUGUCUCCUCCUGAGACUCAGCGAAGUUGAAAUGUUUGUGAUGAUGCAAUCUCCCCGCGGAAAGACGGAAAGACCCCAUGAACCUUUACUGUAGCUUUGUAUUGGACUUUGAACAGAUCUGUGUAGGAUAGGUGGGAGGCUUUGAAGCAGGGUCGCUAGAUCUUGUGGAGCCAACGUUGAAAUACCACCCUGGUGUGUUUGAGGUUCUAACCUAGGUCCAUUAUCUGGAUCGGGGACAGUGCAUGGUAGGCAGUUUGACUGGGGCGGUCUCCUCCCAAAGCGUAACGGAGGAGUUCGAAGGUACGCUAGUUACGGUCGGACAUCGUGACGAUAGUGCAAUGGCAUAAGCGUGCUUAACUGCGAGACUGACAAGUCGAGCAGAUGCGAAAGCAGGACAUAGUGAUCCGGUGGUUCUGUAUGGAAGGGCCAUCGCUCAACGGAUAAAAGGUACUCUGGGGAUAACAGGCUGAUACCGCCCAAGAGUUCAUAUCGACGGCGGUGUUUGGCACCUCGAUGUCGGCUCAUCUCAUCCUGGGGCUGUAGCCGGUCCCAAGGGUAUGGCUGUUCGCCAUUUAAAGAGGUACGUGAGCUGGGUUUAAAACGUCGUGAGACAGUUUGGUCCCUAUCUUCCGUGGGCGCUGCAGAUUUGAGGAAGCCUGCUCCUAGUACGAGAGGACCGGAGUGGACACACCUCUGGUGUAUCGGUUGUCACGCCAGUGGCAUUGCCGAGUAGCUAAGUGUGGAAGAGAUAACCGCUGAAAGCAUCUAAGCGGGAAACUCGUUUCAAGAUGAGAUCUGCCGGGGCCUUGAGCCCCCUAAAGAGUCGUUCAAGACCAGGACGUUGAUAGGUCAGGUGUGGAAGCG
rnacentral:rRNA from 1 species